UGAGCAUCGAUCGCAUAUAAAAUUCUUGUUUUUAAGUUGGCAUCUUAAAAAAUGUCAUUCUAGAGUUAAGGGAAUAAUGAUUUGCAACUGUUGAAUGCAGGGUCUUCCUGCUAGUUAAGGUUCAUAUAAUAAAGGCUAAUGGUUCACAAAGAGACGGAGAAGAUAGUCUGUAACUUGAAUAUAUAUCCAUCACAAUAAGGAAGGGUACAUUUCGAUCCUUGUUGCCGCAAGGAAAAGUGACUGCACAGGAUUUAAAGGUGGAUUUCAUGGUUUUAUCAAUUAAGUUAUCAAUCACACCUCACUGUGAUUCGAUUCUCCAAAAGCAGAGGUCGUCUGCCUCUGGAGAUGCAUACAAGAAGAAGAAGACGAAGAAGAUAGACGCCUGGACUGGCAUGAACAUCAUCAGAUUAUGUCGUUGGAGGUGAUGAAUACCAUGGGAUCUGAAGAAGAAGAAGAAGAAGAAGAAGAAGAAAAAAUGGAUGAAACUCUUGUUAAGAAUGUGAGUUUUUCUCGAUUCGGAGUUGUGUUAUGGAAAACGCUAGGAAAGCUUUGUUGCUUACCUGUUGCUAGCACUUUAAUAUGCAAUGAAUCCCACGGCCUAUCACUGUUGGAUCAUGGUAUCCACGUGGGCGCCGCGUUACAGCGCUAGCAACUUGCUAGAACCAACAUGAGCACAGAAACACCCCUAGCAAGGUCAUUGUUUAAUUUCCUAUGGGCUGAAAGAGAGUCUGAAGCUUAAUGAAAUUUGGACUGUAUUUGCAGACAUUAUUUACCAUGAAUAUUUUGGCUCCGAUUGUUGAAAGUUGUAUUUCUAAAGCUCGAGUAAAUUCAUUUAUUAUGUGUGGAGGGGAAACUGGGUAUCUGGCUUGUUGCUUGAUCCAUGUGAUUCAUAUUCGUAUGGCAUUUUAAACGAUUUUGAAGAUUGAUGUAAUGCAUUAU